rnacentral:rRNA from 1 species
CAGCCGCCGCGGGAAAACGGAGGGUGCAAGCGUUAUCCGGAUUUAUUGGGUUUAAAGGGUCCGUAGGCGGAUCUGUAAGUCAGUGGUGAAAUCUCACAGCUUAACUGUGAAACUGCCAUUGAUACUGCAGGUCUUGAGUAAAUUUGAAGUGGCUGGAAUAAGUAGUGUAGCGGUGAAAUGCAUAGAUAUUACUUAGAACACCAAUUGCGAAGGCAGGUCACUAAGAUUUAACUGACGCUGAUGGACGAAAGCGUGGGGAGCGAACAGGAUUAGAUACCCCAGUAGUCCCUGUCUCUUAUAA